UGAGGAAUAUUGGUCAAUGGACGCAAGUCUGAACCAGCCAAGUAGCGUGCAGGAUGACGGCCCUAUGGGUUGUAAACUGCUUUUAUAUGGGGAUAAAGUGGGGAACGUGUUCCCUUUUGCAGGUACCAUAUGAAUAAGGACCGGCUAAUUCCGUGCCAGCAGCCGCGGUAAUACGGAAGGUUCGGGCGUUAUCCGGAUUUAUUGGGUUUAAAGGGAGCGUAGGCCGUUUGGUAAGCGUGUUGUGAAAUGUAGGAGCUCAACUUCUAGAUUGCAGCGCGAACUGUCAGACUUGAGUGCGCACAACGUAGGCGGAAUUCAUGGUGUUGCGGUGAAAUGCUUAGAUAUCAUGAAGAACUCCGAUUGCGAAGGCAGCUUACGGGAGCGCAACUGACGCUGAAGCUCGAAGGUGCGGGUAUCGAACAGG
rnacentral:rRNA from 1 species